AGGACGAACGCUGGCGGCGUGCUUAACACAUGCAAGUCGAGCGGAAAGGCCCUUCGGGGUACUCGAGCGGCGAACGGGUGAGUAACACGUGAGCAAUCUGCCCUUAGCUUCGGGAUAGCCCCGGGAAACCGGGAUUAAUACCGAAUACGACCUCGGCCGACAUCGGCUUUGGUGGAAAGUUUUUCGGCUAGGGAUGAACUCGCGGCCUAUCAGCUUGUUGGUGGGGUAAUGGCCUACCAAGGCGACGACGGGUAGCCGGCCUGAGAGGGCGACCGGCCACACUGGGACUGAGACACGGCCCAGACUCCUACGGGAGGCAGCAGUGGGGAAUAUUGCGCAAUGGGCGAAAGCCUGACGCAGCGACGCCGCGUGGGGGAUGAAGGCCUUCGGGUUGUAAACCCCUUUCAGCAGGGACGAAGCGAGAGUGACGGUACCUGCAGAAGAAGCGCGGCUAACUACGCGCCAGCAGCCGC
rnacentral:rRNA from 1 species